CACGUAGGUGGCAAGCGUUAUCCGGAUUUACUGGGCGUAAAGCGUGUGCAGACUGUUGCACAAGUGGUGUAUGAAAGCGCCGGGCUUAACUCGGCGAGGUUAUGCCAGACUGUGCGGCUGGAGGCAUUCAGAGGGACAUGGAAUUCCGGGUGUAGUGGUGAAAUGCGUAGAUAUCCGGAGGAACUCCAGAGGCGAAGGCGGUGUCCUGGGAAUGACCUGACGCUCAGACACGAAAGCAUGGGGAGCGAACGGG
rnacentral:rRNA from 1 species